GUCUACAGUGAGGUGUGAUCCCUGAGGAGAGAAAGAGAGGCUACAAAGAUCAGAGCGUGUCCAUCCUCUGAAGGACUGGUCAGGGAUUAAAGGACUGUAGGAGACGUGGGACACGUGACCAACUCCAGAGAGCUUCUUUCGCAAUCGAGCAUACAAGAUCGGCACCACCUGGCACGGUGCAAAGGAGCCACCCCACCCGUCACCAUGUCCACACCCUAGCCACAGACCUCUCCCCGGAGUCCCACUGCUGCCUCCUCACUGGCUUCCCUGCCUCCUUGCCUGCCCUCCUCCAUUGCUUUCUCCCCACUGCUGCCCAAGGGAAUCUCUAAAAACCAGUGUUUUUGAGCACUAGGAGGGCUCUGGAUCUAUGUAGAGCACUUUACCUACAUUAUCUUAUUGAAUCCUUAGAACAAACCUUUGAGGCAAAUGCUAAGAUUGUUUCAUUACGGAGGAGAGAAAACAGGCUCAGAGAGGUGUCGUAAGUGACCUAAAAUCACAGAGCAAGUAAGUGGCAGAGCUGGGAUUUGAAACCAGGUUUGUCUGAGAUUAGACCUUAUAAGUGGGAUGUUAGCUGCAUCUCCUACUCACUAAAACAGUGGGUGUGCUUCAGAAUCCCCUCAGAGGGGGCCUGCUACAAUGGGGAGCCACAUCUAGGGUGGACCCCAGGAACCCACAUUUUGACAACCUCCCCCAGCUCCUGUCGUAGGCGAUUCUGAUGCUGGUGGUCUAUAAGCACUUGGAAAAAGCCUCUCAGAUCCUGCUGCUCUUCUUCCUAAAACCAUCGAUGGUUCCCUUUUAUUCUCUGAAUUGAGUCCAAAGUCCUGGACACGUGGCCUUUUCUCCCAUUCACUCUAGUGUUUGAGCUUGCAUCUGGUCUUUCACCCCUGAGCAUUUGCUCAGGCACGCUCCCUGCCUGUGACACGCUGCCAGCCUUCCUUCUCCCUGGGCCUGGUGGGUUCCCACAGGUGCUGGGCUGGGAGUUAGGACUUGCGGGUUUUAGCUUCAUGGGAUAGCAGUCUCCCAGCGUAACCCUGGACGACACAUCCUUCACUCCCUUUGGGCCUUAGUUUCUCCACUGGAGCCACAGAGAUUUGACUGGAUGCUGGCUGUGUAAACAGAGACGGCAAAGGCAGGCUCUUGCUGCCAAGCCAGGCAUCUGGGCCUCCCCAUCUGUUUGCAGGUCAGCAGCCUGUGUUCCUGGCAGGUGCUAAACACUCACUCAUGCUGCUGAGAAGAUCCAGGGAGGUCUGGCUCCAGCACCGUGACUGCAGUUGCUUGGGCCAAAUCAAUGUUUCCACAUCUUAUCUCUAACUGGCUCAGUCACAAUAUUUAGACACUUGGCCUCAAGUUGAGAAAUUUGGUGACUCAGGGAGAUAGCAGCUGUGGCCGGCUCCUGACCCCUGAACCCUCUACCCCUGAUGGGGACACACCCUCCCAGAAAGAGGAAUGGACUUUCCCUACAAGAAGCUCUUCGUGAAGGGAGAAGGAAACUGAGGACCAGAGAGGAGAAACAACUUGCUUGAAGCCACACAGCUACAUAGUGGCAUGUGUGCAUUUAAUAUUUACUGAGCACCUACUAUGUGCAAGUCUCCAUGGUGGGUGCUAUGAAGACAGGCGCGAGCAAACAGGACAGAGAAGGGAUUUGUUCUUGUGCGAAUUUCAGUCACAGUCAAAUCUUAUUAUUAUUAUUUUUUUAGAGACAGAGUCUCUCUCUGCCCCCCAGGCUGGAAUGCAGUGGUGCAAACUCAGCUCACUGCAGCCUCAACCUCCAGGGUUCAAGAGAUUCUUGUGCCUCAGCCCCCUCAAGUAGCUGGGACUACAGGCACAUGCCACCACGCCUGGCUAGGUUUUUUGUUUUUGUUUUUGUUUUUGUAGAGACUGGGUUUUGUCAUGUUGCCCAGGCUGGUCUCAAAUUCCUGGGCUCAAGCGAUCUUCCCGCCUCUGCCUCCCAAAGUGCUAGAAUUACAGGUGUGAGCCACCGCGCCCGACCGACCCUUGAUAUUAUUGAAGGUUAACAUUUACAAAGCUUUUAUCAUGUGCUGGUCACCAUUCUAAGUACUUAUUAAAUCUUCAUAAUUACCCAGUGAGGUGGCUGCUGUCAUUUUACAGAUAAGGAAACUGAGGCACAGUGAGGUUGACACUCACUUGGAGCCACAUGCUAGUACAGUGGGC
rnacentral:lncRNA from 10 species